rnacentral:lncRNA from 1 species
UUUACUUGUCUGUUAUGUUUCUUAAAUUCCUGAGGUUUUUUUUAGAAUGGCAUUGUCUUGUUAGACUCUGACUCCCAUGCACUUCCAGUCCAGGAGAAGGACAGACAUUCCCCAAGCUUCAUGAGAGUUACUGUUACUACAGUUACUAUAUACAUAUACUAUACUGUUCAAAGCUGCUGCUAUGUAAUUUGACUUAAAGCUUUGAGGAUAACACCCCAGAAUGGUAAGAAGCAGAGUUGGGAAUCUGAAUGACUAAGAUUACCAAGUUACCAGACACACUGAGCUUCAAUUUCUUCAUCUGAAAAAUGUACUGAUAAUAACUACUUCAAAUGGAAGUUGUGAGAAUUAAAUAGAAUGGUGUAUGUAAAAACCAUUUCUUGGCAUAUAGUAGGCACUUAAUAAAUGAUAGUUAUUUCCCAUUUCUAACAGUAGUGUGUCAGAUAUGGAUUUUUCCUGAUAAAUGGGAAUUUCAUUUAUUUGUGCAAAUACUUACAUGGAAAGAGCUGUAGGGUACUGUGAACUCUAUUUCAAAUUAGCUUAGGCACCAGCCAUUUCUGUCUCAUUAACAAUAGAAUUUGCAACUCAGAAGUCCCAAAUCCAAAUCUUUGCCUUCUAUUCAGUCAUUGAGUGCUUUAUCUGUAUAGAAAGAUUUCUACAGCUCUGUAGAGAAAUGUAACCUAUCUCAGGAGUUUAAAGUUAAACUCACAGCAAUAAACAUCAAGAAUAUUAUUCAUUUUCCUGAAGAAUUUGAAGUACCUUCCAAUAUUUAAAAAUAGUACAAUUGUUCUGUGUUUAUACAUUAGUGAUGAACUGUUGGUGGGAUAAAGUGGUACAACCUUUCUUGAAGGUAAUUUGACAAAUAUUAAACAAAUUUUUAAUUACUCAUACUCUGUUGCAGCAAUUCCACUUCUGGGUACUUAUUUUAAGCAUAUGAAGAAAGAUCUGUGCACAAAAUGAGCAGCUGUGGUGGAUACAGAUACACUAGCCAAACCUUCCUUUGGAGGAGGAGUCUGGUCAGCCCUUUAAGGUCGGCCUCAGCUGCAGAGUGCAGCCAGUCUCCUUUGAGUUCAUCAUGGCCCUCCCAGAGCUGCUCUCAUCUGGUGAUUGAGUGACUGCACGACUGUAUGUUAGAAAAGCCCAGUCGGGGCUCUCGGGUGACUCAGUCAGUUAAGCAUCUUCCUUUGGCUCAGGUCAUGAUCCCAGGAUCCUCCACUCCACUUGGGGCUCCCUGCUCAGCAGAGAGUCUGCUUCUCUCUCUGCCUCUGCCUCCUCUCCACCACCACCUCAUACUCUCUCGCUCUCUCUCAAAUGAAUAAAUAAAAUCCUAAAAAAAAAAAGAAAAAAGAAAGAAAAAAAAAAAAAAGCCCAGUCAUUUCCCCCCAAAACAGUACCUCUGAUGGGUCCUUUCCAUAAACAUGAGGCCUGGGUCACAGUGCAACUUCUCCCUUGCUCUUUCCUGCUUCUUCCCUCUUCAUUUCAUAGGGGUCAAUCCCUAAUAAAUAUCUUGCUCUUUAAACUCCAUUUCUUUCAGCUUCUGGAGGACUAAACUUGUGAUGACAUGAUGCAUUUGUUAAAAAUUAAAAUCAGGGGCAUCUGGGUAACUCAGUCGGUUAAAUGUCUGCUUUCAGCUCAAGUCAUGAUCCUGAUAUCCCGGGAUUGAGCCCUGAAUCUGGUUCCCUGCUGAGCAGGGAGCCUGCUUUUUCUCUCUGCACUCUUGCACUCUCUUUCUCUCUGUCUCUCUCUCUCGUAUUCUCUCAAAUAAAUACAAUUUUUUAAAAAAUGAAAAUCUCAAAGCAAUCUAAACAACAGGGACAGUGGAGUAAAUUACGUUUCUUCUGUAGAGUGGGAUAUCACUCAGUCACUAAAAAUGUGAAAGGCAAUUCAAUGACCCAGGGAAUUUUUUUAAAAUAUUUUAUUUAUUUAUUCAUGAGAGACAUAGAGAGAGAGGCAGAGACAUAGGCAAAGGGAGAAGCAGGCUCCCUGCUGACCAGGGAGCCCAAUGUGGGACUCGAUCCCAGGACCCCAGGAUCAUGACCUGAGCCAAAGGCAGUUGCUCAACCACUAUACCACUCAGGUGCCCCAAUCCAGGGAAAUGUUUAAAAAUACAUAGUGAAGUGGAUAAAAAAGCUAUGUAUAAAGCACUCUAAUUUGUGAUUGCAUUUUUACAAUGCAUAUUUUGCCACAUAGAACAAAUCAGAAAAAAAAAUCACCCAAACUUUAAUGCCAGCUAUUUUCAAAUAGAGAUAUUGUGCUUCCUGUUUACAAGUUUUUUUGCAAAAGACAUAUGCAUUACUUUUAUAAAUGCGGAAAUGAAUAUGACACAAAGAUAUGUCCAAAUAUCUUUCUUGACUAUCUCAUUCCACAAACCUCCUCCUGCCUUCCCUGACUUGCCAAAUGUUACCAUGCCUAACAUUUGGUCUUGUCUUUCAUCUCUAUGUCUACUCCAUUGCCUGUCCUGUCCAUCUAUUUCCUUAGUAUCUCUCUAAUUAGCCCGUUUUCUCCAUCCCAUUUCUACUAUCUAAGGCCAGGCCCUCAUUAGCUCUCCACUAGAUUUCAGAAAUCAUAUGACCUUUCUAAAAUGUAAACCUUCUCAUGAUACCAAAAUAUUCCACCUCCCAUUACUCCCUCAGUGACUCCCAGUUGCCUUUUUAUUUUUUUAAAGAUUUACUUAUUUAUGUUGGGGGGCAGGGAGGCAGAAGGAGAGGGAGAAAGAGUCUUAAGCAGACUCCACACUGAGUGCAGAGCUCAGUGACAUGGGUCUUAAUCUCAGGUUCCUAAGAUAACGACCUGAGCUAAUUUCAGUAAAAUUACUACAAAAUACAAAUCAACAUAGAAAAAAUCUGUUGCAUUUCUAUAUACUAACAACAAACUAUUUGAAAAAGAGAUAACAAUGCCAUUUGCAAUAUCUUCGAAAAAAUAAAAUACUAUUUAAGUAUUUUAAAUAAAUUUAACCACUGAAAAUUACAAGACUUUGAUGAAAGAAAUCAAAGACACAAGUAAUUGGAAAGAUACUUGUGUUCAUGGAUUGGAAGAACUAAUAUUGUUAAUAUGUCCAUAGUGCCCAAAGCCAUCUAUGGGUUCAGUGCAAUCCCUAUCAAGACUGUUCACUGGGGGGGCAGCCGGGUGGCUCAGUGGUUUAGCGCCAUCUUCAGCCCAGGCAAGGCCUGAUCCUAGAGACCCGGGAUCCAGUCCCAAGUCAGGCUCCCUGCAUGGAGCCUGCUUCUCCCUCUGCCUGUGUCUCUGCCUCUCUCUCUCUGCCUCUCUCUCUCUCUCUCAUGAAUAAAUAAAUGAAAUCUUUAAAAAAAUUUUAAAAAAGACUGUUCACUAGGAAAGGAUAUUCUCUUCAAUAAUUGGUGUUAGAAAAACUGGAUGGUCAUGCACCAAAGAAUGAAAUUGGACCCCUAUUUUUCAUCAUUUACAAAAGUUAAGCUGAAAUGGAUUAAUUAUAAUACCUGAAACAAACUACUAAAGGAAAAUAUAGGUGAAUUGACAUUAGUCUUGGCAAUAAUAUUUCAGAUCUGACACCAAAAGCACAAGCAACAAAAGCAAAAAUGAAGAAGUGGAAUUAUAUCAUAUUUUAAAAGCUCUGUACAACAAAAGAAACAAUCAAAAUAAUAAGGCAAAUGAUAUAAUGUGAGAAAAUAUUUGUAACCAUCUAUCUGAUAAGGUGUUAAUAUCCAAUAUAUAUAAAGACUCCAUAUAACUCAAUAGCAAAGAAGAAAAAGAGAAAAAAAUCUCAUUUGAAAAAUAAGCAUAGAACCUGAAGAAGACAUACAAAUGGCCAACAAGUACAUGAAAAGAUGCUCAUCACUAAUCAUCAGAGAAAUGCAAAUCAAAACCACAAUGAGAUGUCACCUCAUACUUGUCAGAAUGGCUAGUAUCAAAAAGACAAAAAGUAACAAGUGUUUGCAAGGAUGUGGGGAAAGAGGAACACUUGUGCACUGUGGUGGAAAGAUAAACUGGUGCAGCCACUGUGAAAAUUAAUAUGGAGUUUCCUCAGAAAAUUAAAAAUAAAACUAUCAUAUGAUCCAGCAAUUCCACUUCUGGGUAUAUAUCCAAAGGAAACAAAAUCACUAUCUCAGAGAUAUCUCUGCACCCUCAUAUUCAUUGCAGUAUCAUUCACAGUAGCCAAGACAUGGAAACAACCUAAGUAUCUAUUAAUAAAGAAAUUAUACACAUACACAUGCAUAUGGAUAUAGAAAAUGGAAUAUUCAGCCAUAAAAAAAGAAGGCAAUCCUGCCUUUUGGGACAAUGUGGAUGGAUCUUGAGGGCUUUCUACUAAGUGAAAUAAGUCAGACAGAGCAAGACAAAUACUGUAUAUUCUUACCUGUAUGUGGAACCUAAAAAAGCCAAAUCAUAGAGAUAGUAGAAUGGUAGUUGCCAAGGGCUGUGGGGUGGAAGGUGAGGCAUAGAAUUAUCAGAUGUUGGUCAAAGGGUACAAACUUCCACAUAUAAGAUGAAUAAGUUUUGGGUUUUAAUGUACAAUAUGGUGACUCUAGUUAACAGUACUGAAUUAUACACUUGAAAGUCACUAAGAAAGUAAAUCUUAAGUGCUAUCACCACAAUAAAAAGAAAAAAUGGUAAUUAUGUGAGGUGAUGGAGGUGUUAACUAACCUUAUCGUGGUAAUCAUUUCACAAUUAUAGGUAUAUUAAAUCAUCACGUUGUACACUUCAAAGUUAUAUAAUGUUGUAUGGCAAUUAUAUCUCAAUAAACCUGGAAAAAAAUAAAGUUCAUAUAAACAAAAAAUCUAUGCAUAUAUAAUGAUAAAAUUGAAAUUACCCUAUCUUUAUCCACAAAAAUAUAUCCAAUAGUUAGUAAUUAGAGGAUUAUGAUGUUGCCAAUACUUACAUAAAGACAUUCAGGCAAGUAGAUGCAAUUCAGUGGAAGCCAGAGAGAAAAAAUAAAAAAGAAGCUAACAUUAUACAGAUAAUGAUUAAGUAAUGAAGGUAAGAAGGAGGGAUACAAAUGUGCCAGGAAGCAGAAGGGGAAAAAACUAUGUGAAUCCACGUUUUAGCACUCCCUCAAAAUGUAGACAAACCUUGAGGAGGUUUUUAGUACAGCCUUAGGAUGAUGAUGGGUGCUUUGCCCAAUGGAUGUAGGCAGGGGUCCUAAAUUCCUAAAUUUGUCUUCUGAACCUGCUGGACAGUUAACAGAAGGAAUAGAUGAGAAGCCCUUGGUUCUUAUCAACCUUCUCCCUGUGUUCACAGACAUCUCAUUAAGAGAUCAACUGAGAUUGUAACUUUCAAAACAUGGAAACCCUGUAAUAAGAACAGUUAGUUAUUUUCUUCCUACUGUAAAAAUCUUAAGAGUUUGGAGUUUGGCUUUUUUUUUUUUUUUAACAUGUAGAACAGUUUCCUAUUAUUGAACUCAAAUUAUUUAACAUAAAAUCUAGGAUUUUUUGUUGUUGUUGUUGUUGUUGUCGUUAAGAUCCUACAUCUGCAUUCUAGCCAGAAUUGCAAAACCACACUAUAAUUCUCUAAGUGAUAGCAGUGAGAUCAAAAGGACUUACCCUAGAAUUAGUUUUAAAAUAAACUAUUGGGGUUUCUGGGAAAGAAGAGAGAAUGUGUGUUUACUAAACUUCUCUUCCUGAAGCCCAGUGAAAUGAGUAAAAUAAACUGUAUUUUCCCAAAAGGGUGUCUUUAGUAAUUAUAAUCACAGAUAAAAAUAGUCAAGCCUAGAUUUCUCUAAAACUUAUUUAUUUUAUUCUUUGUGUUUUUAUGAUUUAGUAGAAAAGUUCUACCUGACAUCUUAUUAAGCUUACAAAAAAAAAAAAAAAAGAGCAACAA